CCUACCCUUCAGCGGGGGAUAACCAUCGGAAACGAUGACUAAUACCGCAUAGACGACAGAACCGCCUGGUUCAAUCGGGAAAGACGGCUUCGGCUGUCACUGAAGGAUGGUCCCGCGCUGCAUUAGCUAGUUGGUAAGGUAACGGCUUACCAAGGCGAUGAUGCAUAGCCGACCUGAGAGGGUGAUCGGCCACAUUGGGACUGAGACACGGCCCAAACUCCUACGGGAGGCAGCAGUAGGGAAUCUUCCGCAAUGGACGCAAGUCUGACGGAGCAACGCCGCGUGUGUGAAGAAGGUUUUCGGAUCGUAAAGCACUGUUAUUAGAGAAGAACAGCCGAUAGAGUAACUGUUAUCGGUUUGACGGUAUCUAACCAGAAAGUGACGGCUAACUACGUGCCAGCAGCCGCGGUAAUACGUAGGUCACAAGCGUUGUCCGGAUUUAUUGGGCGUAAAGGGAGCGCAGGCGGUUUGUUAAGUCUGAUGUGAAAGCCCACGGCUCAACCGUGGAACGGCAUUGGAAACUGGCAAACUUGAGUAUAAAAAAGGAAAGUGGAAUUCCAUGUGUAGCGGUGAAAUGCGUAGAUAUAUGGAGGAACACCAGUGGCGAAGGCGACUUUCUGGUCUAUAACUGACGCCGAAGCUCCAAAGCGUGGGGACCGAACAGGAUUAUAUACCCUGGUAGUCCACCCCGUAAACAAUGAAUGUUA
rnacentral:rRNA from 1 species